rnacentral:lncRNA from 1 species
AUGAUAGCACAGAGAGAGGACGGAGGGUUUACACCGAGUGAGAGGAAGUCGGCACAAACAGAAUCUGUCCUCUUUAAAAAUCAACAUUACUUAUAUUCUAUGAUUAUCUCAACAAUGAAUGUUUGUUCAGGGCUCCUGUGUAAAAUCUGUAAAUCUGAUCUGAGAUCAGUAGCGAUGUGUUCUCUCCUGCAGACUGAGAUCACAGCAGACGAGCUGCACAGAGACACCUUAAUAUCAUCAGGAGGAGGAGAGGAGUUUAUAUCAUCAGGAGGAGGAGAGGAGGAAUUUAUAUCAUCAGGAGGAGGAGAGGAGGACUUUAUAUCAUCAGGAGGAGGAGAGGAGGACUUUAUAUCAUCAGGAGGAGAGGAGGACUUUAUAUCAUCAGGAGGAGGAGAGGAGGACUUUAUAUCAUCAGGAGGAGGAGAGGAGGACUUUAUAUCAUCAGGAGGAGGAGAGGAGGACUUUAUAUCAUCAGGAGGAGGAGAGGAGGACUUUAUAUCAUCAGGAGGAGAGGAGGACUUUAUAUCCUCAGGAGGAGGAGAGGAGGACUUUAUAUCAUCAGGAGGAGGAGAGGAGGACUUUAUAUCAUCAGGAGGAGAGGAGGACUUUAUAUCAUCAGGAGGAGGAGAGGAGGACUUUAUAUCAUCAGGAGGAGAGGAGGACUUUAUAUCAUCAGGAGGAGGAGAGGAGGACUUUAUAUCAUCAGGAGGAGGAGAGGAGGACUUUAUAUCAUCAGGAGGAGAGGAGGACUUUAUAUCAUCAGGAGGAGAGGAGGACUUUAUAUCAUCAGGAGGAGGAGAGGAGGACUUUAUAUCAUCAGGAGGAGGAGAGGAGGACUUUAUAUCAUCAGGAGGAGGAGAGGAGGACUUUAUAUCAUCAGGAGGAGGAGAGGAGGACUUUAUAUCAUCAGGAGGAGGAGAGGACUUUAUAUCAUCAGGAGGAGGAGAGGAGGACUUUAUAUCAUCAGGAGGAGGAGAGGAGGACUUAUAUCAUCAGGAGGAGGAGAGGAGGACUUUAUAUCAUCAGGAGGAGGAGAGGAGGACUUUAUAUCAUCAGGAGGAGGAGAGGAGGAACUUUAUAUCAUCAGGAGGAGGAGAGGAGGACUUUAUAUCAUCAGGAGGGAGAGGAGACUUAUAUCAUCAGGAGGAGGAGAGGAGGACUUUAUAUCAUCAGAGGAGGAGAGGAGGACUUUAA